rfam:Enterococcus sp. 9E7_DIV0242 scaffold00006, whole genome shotgun sequence.
GUUAAUCUGUGAUGUGCGUGUUGUCUUUUUUGUGUGUUGACCGAACAUUUUAUUGAUAUCUCGGGAUCCGACUAGUAUCUAGACGGGUAGCAAGCCUUUUCAUUUGGUAGCUCGAAGUUAUGGAUCGUGGAACCCACCUGCUAAGUGCGGGAUCAAUACUAUAGGACAAAUAACGGCAUCGACGGAUUAUCC